rnacentral:rRNA from 1 species
GACAGUGAUACCCUGGUAGUCCACACCGUAAACGAUGAAUGCCAGUCGUCGGGUAGUAUACUAUUCGGUGACACACCUAACGGAUUAAGCAUUCCGCCUGGGGAGUACGGUCGCAAGAUUAAAACUCAAAGGAAUUGACGGGGGCCCGCACAAGCGGUGGAGCAUGUGGUUUAGUUCGAAGCAACGCGCAGAACCUUACCAACCCUUGACAUCCUGUGCUACAUCCAGAGAUGGAUGGUUCCCUUCGGGGACGCAGUGACAGGUGCUGCAUGGCUGUCGUCAGCUCGUGUCG